ACUUGGCUGGCUCAGUCAGUGGAGCAUUUGACUCUUGAUCUUGGGGUUGUGGGUUCAAGCUCCACACUGAGUA
rnacentral:tRNA from 1 species